CAGUAGCCACGGUAAUACGAAGGGUGCAAGCGUUAAUCGGAAUUACUGGGCGUAAAGCGUGCGUAGGCGGUGAGUUAAGUCUGCUGUGAAAUCCCCGGGCUCAACCUGGGAAUGGCAGUGGAUACUGGCUCGCUAGAGUGUGUCAGAGGAUGGUGGAAUUCCCCGUGUAGCGGUGAAAUGCGUAGAGAUCGGGAGGAACAUCAGUGGCGAAGGCGGCCAUCUGGGACAACACUGACGCUGAGGCACGAAAGCGUGGGGAGCAAACAGGAUUAGAUACCCCGGUAGUCCCUGUCUCUUAUAC
rnacentral:rRNA from 1 species